rnacentral:tRNA from 1 species
AGACAUAACCUAUGAGUAAAGUGUUUCAUUUACACUGAAAAUUUUUCUGUGCAAAUCAGGAUAUCUUGAU